rnacentral:rRNA from 1 species
CGGCAGGCCUAACACAUGCAAGUCGAGCGCUCACUUCGGUGGGAGCGGCGGACGGGUUAGUAACGCGUGGGAAUAUGCCCGGUACUAAGGAAUAGCCUUUGGAAACGAAGAGUAAUACCUUAUACGCCCUUCGGGGGAAAGAUUUAUCGGUAUCGGAUUAGCCCGCGUAAGAUUAGAUAGUUGGUGGGGUAAUGGCCUACCAAGUCUACGAUCUUUAGCUGGUUUUAGAGGAUGAUCAGCAACACUGGGACUGAGACACGGCCCAGACUCCUACGGGAGGCAGCAGUGGGGAAUCUUAGACAAUGGGCGCAAGCCUGAUCUAGCCAUGCCGCGUGAGUGAAGAAGGCCUUAGGGUCGUAAAACUCUUUCGCCAGAGAUGAUAAUGACAGUAUCUGGUAAAGAAACCCCGGCUAACUCCGUGCCAGCAGCCGCGGUAAUACGGAGGGGGUUAGCGUUGUUCGGAAUUACCGGGCGUAAAGCGCACGUAGGCGGACUGGAAAGUUGGGGGUGAAAUCCCGGGGCUCAACCUCGGAACUGCCUCCAAAACUAUCAGUCUAGAGUUCGAGAGAGGUGAGUGGAAUUCCAAGUGUAGAGGUGAAAUUCGUAGAUAUUUGGAGGAACACCAGUGGCGAAGGCGGCUCACUGGCUCGAUACUGACGCUGAGGUGCGAAAGUGUGGGGAGCAAACAGGAUUAGAUACCCUGGUAGUCCACACCGUAAACGAUGAAUGCCAGUCGUCGGCAAGUAUACUUGUCGGUGACACACCUAACGGAUUAAGCAUUCCGCCUGGGGAGUACGGUCGCAAGAUUAAAACUCAAAGGAAUUGACGGGGGCCCGCACAAGCGGUGGAGCGUGUGGUUUAAUUCGAAGC